rnacentral:tRNA from 1 species
GGCGUGUAUAAAAUGAUAACACACGCCUGGAAAGCGUGUAUACGCCAAAAGCGUAUCCCGAGUUCGAAUCUCGGUCACUCCG